rnacentral:misc_RNA from 1 species
AACAGUAGGAACACAAGACAUUUAUUGAUCAUUGCUGGUCUCUGUGCAUGGAAGAGCGUAUCCAUUGUUAUGUCUUAGAUCUACAAAUGGCCAUACACAAGAAGAGCUCACAAUACUUUGUAGGAACCAAUCAGAUUUCAGUAUUUUAUUUGCAUUUUGAUGUUAGGUUAGCAUUCAUCAUGAUAGUCACAAUUUAUAAUUUUGUAAAUUUUACAAACAAACUCUUAGGUCCAUUUUUUUCCCUAUUCAAAUUAGAAUCAAAAUGCCUUAGAUUUUUUAAGGUGUCAUAUUCUGGAGUUGUGAAACACUUUUUUUUAAAUUUCUUCUUCUACUAACCAAGAUGUUAUUAUUAUUAAAGAAAAUAGAUAUACAUGUAGUAUUAAUGUUUAAAAGUGUACAUUGGCAAAUGAAGAUGUAUUUUUAUAUACAGCUGGACUGGGGAGAAGAUUUUGUCGGAAUUUUUUUUUUUUGGAAAUUUUGUAUUUUACAGUUUAUACACAGGUUAUUAUUUUUUAAAAGGAAAUCCAUCACACAUUUGAAAUGCCUUAUUUCAUUUUUGUGCUAAUUAUGGCAUUUACUGCUAGUAUUAUGUUUCUGAACAAUAAUACAUUCAUAACAACAGUUUUUGUUAAUAUUAAUUCUGUAAUGUUUCUUGUGAAAAUUUUAAGCAUGAAAUAUUUCCUCAUGUUUUCUUAAUUUUGUAAGGUAAAGAUUUUAUGAGGCUGGGCAGGAAACACAGAUAACUUUUUCAUGUCAACACUUUGAUUUGUUGAUCAAAAUAUUUUUCUUUGUGUAUUAAUUGACUCUAUACUUUGAGAGGUACUGGUAGGUGUUAAGUAAGAUUUAUAGAUCUAUGUUAAGGAUUAUUUCAACUAAUUUGAUUGUUAAAUUCACCCUGACUAAUGACAUAUGUGGUAGUGUUGUGUAGUUUUGUUACAGCUGGAAUCAUCACUCCAGAUAACUGUUAAUGUGAAAGUAUUGCAUGGUUGUUAUACAUGCACUUAUACACCUAUACUGUACUAUUAUUCAGUGCUGUAAUAUCACCCCCGAUAAUGGCUACAGUGGGAGUGUUGCAUGGUUGUGAGAGGAGCACACUCGGUGCUGCAUUCAUCAAAGUUCCUGUGAUGAGGUGUAUUGGAUUUAUAUGUGUUGUCUAUUUUUAUGUACAAAUAAAUUUGGCCAAUAAAUGUGUGCAACCCUAG